rnacentral:rRNA from 1 species
GACGAACGCUGGCGGCGUGCUUAACACAUGCAAGUCGAACGAAGUGGCGAACGGGUGAGUAACGCGUAAUCAACCUGCCCUUCAGCGGGGGAUAACAGGUGGAAACGACUGCUAAUACCGCAUACGGAAGGAGGGGAUUGGGUCUGAUUAGCUAGUUGGAGGGGUAACGGCCCACCAAGGCGAGGAUCGGUAGCCGGUCUGAGAGGAUGAACGGCCACAUUGGGACUGAGACACGGCCCAGACUCCUACGGGAGGCAGCAGUGGGGAAUCUUCCGCAAUGGACGAAAGUCUGACGAAGCAACGCCGCGUGAGUGAUGACGGCCUUCGGGUUGUAAAGCUCUGUUAAUCGGGACGCGGUACCGGAAUAGAAAGCCACGGCUAACUACGUGCCAGCAGCCGCGGUAAUUC